AUGGCUCACAACGCGGCCGCCGCAGUUGAUCACGGCGAAGGCAUCCGGACGUCGUCGAGGUGCGUCACGGAGGGCGCGACACACGAUUUCGAGGUGACCAACUACCCGCUGCUCGAGGGCAUGGGCGUCGGAACGUACAUUAGCUCGAGCACGUUCACUGUCGGCGGCUACGACUGGAACGUCAGUGGUUUAAGAGCAGUUUGCAAAACACUGAAGGAGUAUUAUUGUUGUCCAGCCCCAGCAAAGUGGUAUCAGAGCCUUGGUUUGCUUGUACAAAUUGCUGAAUUUCUUGUGGUGAAAGAUGGAAGUGAAUACCAGCAGGAUGAUAUCUUUGAAUGGUACAAAUUAUCAAGCAUGGAAGGGCAAGCGCGCAUGGCCGGGGCAGGGCUCGCGAACCAUCUCCUUCCUCCUCGCUUGGGCGCCAUGGCCACCACCCUCGCAAGAUCCAGCCCAUCUCCGCCGCGUCCGCCGAGUGGGCGUUCCGGCGGACCCGGUCGGCGCCGUCGCUCGCCGCCGAGUACGCGGGCGGCCCGCUCAAGCGCUGGUGGGACGGGCGCCAUGCGCCAGGUCCAGAAGCCAUGGCUGGUCGAGUUGCUCGACACGCCCGGUAGGCCGUGCUGGCCCUGCUCCUGCCGCAGCCCAGGGCGGAGCGCCUGGUCUCCGGCGAAGGGGAUGGAGUCCACGCUGUUGUCCGUGGCGGCGAGCAGCGCCGUGGCGAGGGCGGCGAGUAGGAGGACCGAGGGCGGAGGCGGCGAGCGGCAGGCAAGCCGAAGGCGGCCUGCCCUGCGAAAUUGGAAGAGUUAUUUGCCCGAAAAGAAGCUUUCUUCAAUGCGAAUAACAUUUGAAGAGGAAGUGACAGCUUUGCUGCUGCUAGGCUCAUUACCGGACAGCUGGGAGACCUUUAAGGUCACGGUUUGCAAUUCAACACCUAAUGGAGUUGUCACUUGGAAUCUUGUGAAAACCAGGGUACUAAAUGAAGAGUCCAGAAAGGUGGCUGAAGCUAGUUCUUCCUCACAUUUAGAGGUGUUGGUCACUCAGUCCAGGGUGAGAAGCAAGAGUAGAGGUCCAGGUAAAGGGGCAGAAAGAGGUAGGAGCAAAUCUAAAAGUAAGUAUGCUGAUUAUGAGUGCCAUCACUGCCAUCAGAAGGGCCACAUUAAGUGGCAAUGUGACAAGUGGAAGAAAGACAAAAAGAAAACGAAGAAGCAAGAUCAGAAGCUAGUUGACAGUGAUAGUGACAUAGAGGGCAACCGAGUUACUGCAGUAGAAGAGGACAUCAUGCUUGUUAUGCAUGAAGAAAAUGAGGGCAGAUUUGGUUCCACUGUUGAGGAGAAGAUCACUGUUGUUUCUGAUGAAACCGUCAACCUUGUGGAUGGUGACGAGAUGAUUUGGAUACCGGACAGCGACAAUGUUCAAGCUGGUGGUUCGAGGCUCAAACGUGCUUGGAUCGACCCCAAACUUGGUGAGCUCGUUCCUUACUUUGGGUACUUCGAUCUGGUUAGCUGGUUUGAGGAUUGGGUCAGUGGAGCAUCAGAUUUGAGAGUGGUUUUGUCAGCUCUGACUGCUGCAGUUUCAGAACAGAGUAGUUUUGGGAGACGAACAGUUUGGCUGUCCUCAAAGUUCAUCACAAGUGGAGGGGGCUGUGUAGUGUGCAUAUUUGCCAUGUUAGUGAAUUUGUGCAGCGCAUUGUUGCUGUACAGCCCCAACAAGGUUCUACCCGAACGGAGACAGGAAGGACGCUGCCGGCCACGCGUCAGCCUUCUUGUGUUAUCUCAGCCCGGUCAAGGACAUGGUGAUGACAAGCUUCACCUUAAGCAUGUUGGACGAUCAAGGCAACAAAAUGAUACCUGGGGCAUUGGAAAAUUCAUGGAGAUAUCGAAGCUGAAAUCGUCGUCACCUCACCUCCUAACGAUAAGGUGCGUGCUCACUAUGAUCAAAGAACCACCCUCGGAGUGCAAGAGCAAUCUUAUUGUGGAGCCUCUGCCGAACCUGCCCGGACGCCUCCACCACGCCCUCAAGGAUGGGAAGGGCGCAGACGUCACGCUCCUCGUGGGCGGCACGGAGUUUAGCGCACAUAGGUUCAUGCUUGCCGCACAGUCCCCGGUUUUCGACACUCAGCUCUUCGGUACGAUGAUGGAUAAGAACACAUCGUGCAUGGAGAUUGUUGACAUGGAGCCGGCCAUCUUCGAGAUGCUUCUUCACUGCGUCUACACGGAUUCACUGCAAUCGUGCAGUGACGGUGAUUACGAUGCAGCCACACUGCAGCAUUUGCUAGUCGCCGCGGUCCGGUACGGGCUGGACAGGUUGAAGGUGAUGUUUGAAGGGAGGUUGUGCAAAAGCAUCGACGAGGACACCAUCAUGAGUACAUUGGCGCUAGCAAAUCAGCACUCCUGCGAGCGGCUCAAGAAUGCCUGCUUGGAGUUUUUAUUGUCAUUGCGGGAAGCCAUUGUUGCAGUCAUGAACACCGACGGCAAUCUCUGCUGCUCAGUUUCAUCCCUUUCUGAGGUAGAAAACCCAUCCAUAUAUGUACGAGUGAGAGAUGUCUUCCUUCCCGGAGAACCGUCUUCUCUCCCUCCUUAG
rnacentral:rRNA from 1 species